CUGUAUCAUAAAGUAUUUUAAUUCAGUAGCUUUUUUUAAGUACAAAUAUGAAAUAAUUUAGGCACCUAGAGAACCCAACAAGUUGAUCAUUCUUAUACUAUUUCUGACUUUAAUACUAAAAAGAGUACAUUAAACUUAAUCCUAUAUAUGUAAUGUAGUAAUUAUGAAAAUGUAUGAUAGAGUCCAGAAGAUAAUGUGUAUACAUACACCAAAGCACAAGAUAAUACAAACUUCCCAUUUUUUAUGGGCUUUUACACCAUCAACACAUUUAUAUUAAAAAUUUUAUAGUAAAUAUUCAUUGGAUCAGAAAUUGUUACAACCCUUUAACUUCAUAUAAGAAAAUAUUUAAUGUAACUCCAUGCAAGUUAUAGGAAGUUUAAUAGAGAGAAGGAUUGAACUGAACUUUUUUUUACUGUUUAUUUUUAUGUUUAUUUAUUUAUUUAAAGACAGGGUCUCACUCUGUUGCUCAGCAUAGAGUCCAGUGGCAUGAUCAUGGCUCACUGCGGCCUCAACCUGAGUUCAAGAGAUCCUCUCACCUCAGCCUCCUGAGUAGCUGGGACUACAGUCUGCACCACACCAAGCUCAGCUACUAUUUUGAUUUUGUAGAGAUCAGGUCUCACUAUAUUGCACAGGCUUAUCCUGAACUACUAGCCUCAAGUGAUAAAUCCUCCUACCUCACCUCCCAAUUGUUGGAAUUACAGGCUUGAGCUAUUCCACCUGACCUUAUUUUUUAUUUUUAGAGACAAGGUCCCGCUCUGUGGCCUAGGUUGGAUUGAAGUGAUGUGAACAUAGUUCACUGCAGCCUCAAAAUCCAGGGCUCAAAUAAUCCUCCCGCCUCAGCCUCGGAGUAGCUGGGAUUACAUUACAAGUGUUGAGUCACCAUGAGCAGCUACCAGAUGUCAUUUUUGCCAUACAAAGAAAAGACUGACAUGACGUAUAUUUUAAAUUGUACAAUGGUCUGUAUCUACAUUCCUUAUAGAAGACUGGGGUUUUUUUUUCUGUUUUUCUAUUCUUGCCAUACAUUUUUGCCAUACAAAGAAAAGACUGACAUUAUGUAUAUUUUAAAUUGUACAAUGGUCUAUAUCUGCAUUUCUUAUAAAAGACCGGGUUUUUUUUCUUUGUUUUUCUAUCCUUGUAAACGUUCAGAAAUUUUCCAUUUGUCUGUCAAGCUAUCAGAGCCAUAAUUUACCAUCGCUUACCAGUGUACAGAUUGAUAAAAACUCUACUGUGACUGUGUUUUGAAUUAGAAAGUGUAAUAAAUGUAAUGUGAAUUGAAUUUAUCACAGUGCUGGGUACUUAUAAUAAAUGGUAACUAUGAUUAUUACUAAAACAGAAAUUUAAAAAUGAAUGUGAAAGAGAUCAGAAUUCACCACUCAGGAGUCUAUCUUCACAAGAUACUGCACCAGCAGAGGCAUCCCCACCUUCUUUUUAACUGCUAAUCAAUACUUUUGUAAAAGGUAUACUUUAACAAGGACAAAUUGAAUCCAGUACUUUUUCUCUCUAAUACACUUUUCGAUUACACAUGAAAGCCAUGACAGGCACUGAGAUAAGAUUCUUUGUUUUUGAAACAUCCAUCUACAAAGAAAAUUCUAAUUCAUUUUACUAAAGCUAUAGAAACUAUACCACUUAAUAAAGAGUAAAAAUUACAACUGAUUUAGAACUAGAAUUGGGAAGUUUCUUAUGAGGACUUUGCAAUGAUAUUUCUACUACAUACUAAAAGUUCCAAAACUCCUAAAUAGUGCACACUAAUUACUGCAGAAUAAUUAAAUCAU
rnacentral:lncRNA from 1 species